rnacentral:rRNA from 1 species
CGGUAUGUUUUUUUCUUUUAUCAACGAAGAAAAGCAAAUGGCGAUUCAUUGUUUGCCGGUACUACAUGAACCAGCCCCGGCUAAUUACCUGCCAGCAGCUGCGGUAAGACAUGGGGGGCAAGUGUCAUCCGGAAUUAUUGGGCGUAAAGGGUGCGUAGGCGGUCUAGUAAGUCAGUGGUGUAAUGGCAACGCUUAACGUUGUCCGGCUAUUGAAACUGCUAAACUUGAGUUAGAUAGAGGCGAGUGGAAUUCCAUGUGUAGCGGUAAAAUGCGUAAAUAUAUGGAGGAACACCAGAGGCGUAGGCGGCUCGCUGGGUCUUAACUGACGCUGAGGCACGAAAGCGUGGGGAGCAAACAGGAUUAGAUACCCUGGUAGUCCACGCCGUAAACGAUGAGUACUAAGUGUCGGGUUAAACCGGUACUGAAGUUAACACAUUAAGUACUCCGCCUGAGUAGUACGUACGCAAGUAUGAAACUUAAAGGAAUUGACGGGACUCCGCACAAGCGGUGGAUCAUGUUGUUUAAUUCGAAGAUACCCGAAAAACCUUACCAGGUCUUGACAUGUUUUUGCAAAAUGAUAGUAAUAUCGUGGAGGUUACCAGAAACACAGGUGGUGCAUGGUUGUCGUCAGCUCGUGUCGUGAGAUGUUAGGUUAAGUCCUAAAACGAGCGAAACCCUUAUCGUUAGUUGCCAGCACGUUAUGGUGGGGACUUUAACGAGACUGCCAAUGAUAAAUUGGAGGAAGGUGAGGAUCACGUCAAAUCAGCAUGCCCCUUAUGACAUGGGCUA